GGCCUGCUCUUUUCUACCAUGGCAGCCCAGGGCUAUGGCUAUUAUCGCACUGUGAUCUUCUCAGCCAUGUUUGGGGGCUACAGCCUGUAUUACUUCAAUCGCAAGACCUUCUCCUUUGUCAUGCCAUCAUUGGUGGAAGAGAUCCCUUUGGACAAGGAUGAUUUGGGGUUCAUCACCAGCAGCCAGUCGGCAGCUUAUGCUAUCAGCAAGUUUGUCAGUGGGGUGCUGUCUGACCAGAUGAGUGCUCGCUGGCUCUUCUCUUCUGGGCUGCUCCUGGUUGGCCUGGUCAACAUAUUCUUUGCCUGGAGCUCCACAGUACCUGUCUUUGCUGCCCUCUGGUUCCUUAAUGGCCUGGCCCAGGGGCUGGGCUGGCCCCCAUGUGGGAAGGUCCUGCGGAAGGCUCCUUGAAGGAGGAGAGCACCCUGCAGGAGCUGCUGCUGUCCCCUUACCUGUGGGUGCUCUCCACUGGUUACCUUGUGGUGUUUGGAGUAAAGACCUGCUGUACUGACUGGGGCCAGUUCUUCCUUAUCCAGGAGAAAGGACAGUCAGCCCUUGUAGGCGGGACUGUCCAACUACGGGAACCCUCGCCAUGGCCUGUUGCUGUUCAUGAUGGCUGGCAUGACAGUGUCCAUGUACCUCUUCCGGGUAACAGUGACCAGUGACUCCCCCAAGCUCUGGAUCCUGGUAUUGGGAGCUGUAUUUGGUUUCUCCUCGUAUGGCCCCAUUGCCCUGUUUGGAGUCAUAGCCAACGAGAGUGCCCCUCCCAACUUGUGUGGCACCUCCCACGCCAUUGUGGGACUCAUGGCCAAUGGUAAGUGUUAACUUCUAGAGUCUCUCCCUCACCCCCACC
rnacentral:lncRNA from 1 species